CAGCCGCCACGGUAAUACGAAGGGGGCUAGCGUUGCUCGGAAUUACUGGGCGUAAAGGGCGCGUAGGCGGCGCUCCAAGUUAGGCGUGAAAUUCCCGGGCUCAACCUGGGGACUGCGCUUAAGACUGGAGUGCUUGAGGAUGGAAGAGGGUUGUGGAAUUCCCAGUGUAGAGGUGAAAUUCGUAGAUAUUGGGAAGAACACCGGUGGCGAAGGCGGCAACCUGGUCCAUUACUGACGCUGAGGCGCGAUAGCGUGGGGAGCAAACAGGAUUAGAUACCCCUGUAGUCCCUGUCUCUUAUAC
rnacentral:rRNA from 1 species